CGCGUGGAUCUGUCACACAUUA
rnacentral:miRNA from 1 species